ACCAGACUCCUACGGGAGGCAGCAGUGGGGAAUAUUGCACAAUGGGGGAAACCCUGAUGCAGCGACGCCGCGUGAGUGAAGAAGUAAUUCGUUAUGUAAAGCUCUAUCAGCAGGGAAGAAAAUGACGGUACCUGAGUAAGAAGCCCCGGCUAACUACGUGCCAGCAGCCGCGGUAAUACGUAGGGGGCAAGCGUUAUCCGGAUUUACUGGGUGUAAAGGGAGCGUAGACGGCAGUGCAAGUCUGGAGUGAAAGGCGGGGGCUCAACCCCCGGACUGCUCUGGAAACUGUACGGCUGGAGUGCAGGAGAGGUAAGUGGAAUUCCUAGUGUAGCGGUGAAAUGCGUAGAUAUAAGGAAGAACACCAGUGGCGAAGGCGGAUGACUGGACGGCAACUGACGGUGAGGCGCGAAAGCGUGGGGAGCAAACAGGAUUAGAUACCCCUGUAAGC
rnacentral:rRNA from 1 species